rnacentral:rRNA from 1 species
CCUACGGGUGGCAGCAGUGAGGAAUAUUGGUCAAUGGGCGCGAGCCUGAACCAGCCAAGUAGCGUGAAGGAUGACUGCUUUCCGGGUUGUAAACUUCUUUUAUAAAGGAAUAAAGUGAGGCACGUGUGUCUUUUCGCAUGGACUUUAUCAAUCAGGAAAGGCUAACCUCGCGCCAGCAGCCGCGGUAAUACGGAGGGUACGAGCGUUACCCGGUUUUAUUGGGUUUAAAGGGAGCGUAGAUGGGUUGUUAGGUCAGAUGUGAAAGGUUUCGGCUCAACCGAAGAAUUGCAAUUGAUACUGGGAGUCUUGAGUGCAGAAGAGGUAAGCGGAAUUCGUGGUGUAGCGGUGGAAUGCGUAGAUAUAUCGAAGAACUCCGGUGGCGAAGGCAGCUUACUAAUCUGCCACUGACAUUGAUGCUCGAAAGUAUGGGUAGCAAACAGGAUUAGAUACCCGAGUAGUC